AUAAUGUUGUUGAUUUAAGAUCGACUCUGCAUAAACUGUAAAUCUUCUGUUACGGCAACGAUGAUGUAACACAACACAUUCGCUAUGCAUCCGUCGUAUUUUCAAAGAAACGUAAAAUACCGAGUGUGGAGAAUUAGAGUCAGAGUUAGAAAGAGGAGGAAGGCUGAAGUUGAAUCUGAAACGGUGCACAUCAUUUAUCGGUACUCUGUGAAAUCUCGGUCAAAUCGUUUUCCAUUACUAUAGAACUAUAACAGAAUAGCAGCGACAGCAUCUCGGAACUUCGUUAAGAUAGUAUCCUAAUUUUAAAAGUGAAGAUAACGAUCUUAUCGCAAGGUCAGCAUAUUACUCCUUUGGCACGUGCUCGAGUAUAUCCAUCUACUUGGUUUUCAUUAUCACUCCUUUCGCGUUCUUGUAUCACGCAAGAAACGGAUCUCGGAAUUUAAGUGGAUCACGUGAUCUCUGUUGUAAAAACAUCGAUUUUUUCCCCAUUCUAAUCUAUUGUUUUGAUUAUCUAACGUUAUUCACAUAAUAACAAAUCAAUUUUCCUUAUCUUUCUCUUACACAAAAAAAAAACAAACAAACAAACAAAUAAAAAUAUCUUCAUUCUUAAUUAUCAAUAAGUAUUUUUCUCCUCAUCAAAAAAAAACCACGUAACUCGUACAUAUAUACACACACACGGUCGAUAUAUAAGUAUAUAUAUAUAUGUUUAUGACUUUCCAAAUCAGUGGAGCAAAGCAGCCAGUGAAAGAAAGGUGCGAGCAUCUCGGUUUCUUUAUUUUGAAAGCGUUAGAAAGCUUUGAUUCGCUCAGCUGGCUGACUACGUUGUUGAAAGUUGGAACGAUUUGUGAUAACGUCUUGUGUGCAACCUGAAUGAGAACGAAGACGAAAGGAAAAAAAAAUAAAUAAAUAAAUAGAAUUGAAAUAGAUAGGCAAAUAAUAUAAUAAGAAUAUGUGGAUGAAAGAUUAUCGUGAAAAUUCAUUGUCGCUUCUCGAUCAGGAUUAUCGAUUUCAUUUGUAAAGAAUGCUCUCUUAUCUAAAACUCAACAAACAAUUCUAAUAAGCAAGAAAUAUGCGAUAAGAUAUAGAUAUUAAAUACAAAAUAUACUUGUACGUAAUACGGAUAAAUUUUAUGAAAGAGAAAAAGAAAAUAUUAUAGACGAACUUUAAAUGAUUGAUAUCGAAUGUAAAUCAUAAAAACAUAUUGUAAGCCAAGGACGUUUGUGAAAAAUUCAAAUUUUUCCCGCGCGAAAUUGUCGUCUGUUUCCGUAUAUUUUCGUACGUUCUUCCGUAAGACGCGCGAAAAUCUUAAAUUUCGGAGAAGAUACAUGGACAACAGUGGAUUUACUUUACAGUCAAGUCAGAAAAGUAAUUAGCCUCGGCCAUUCAAUAUAUAAUUACAUGGAAAAGCAAUUGUUUUUAUUCGAUAAGGAACGAUGAGUCAUUUCUUAUUUGCAGUCAUUCCUCUCGAGUUCUUACCUCAUCUAUAUUGAUGUAACUACGGCUAUUGUGUUGUAAAAAUAACAGAAAGAAUAUAUAAAAAAGAAUGAUUGGACAUGAGUAUUACAAAAAUAAUGAUUGGACAUUAGUAUUACUCGAACGUGAGAUGUGUAAUAUUUAUCUUUUUUUUCUGUUUUUCUUUUUCUUUUUUUGUUUUUUUUUGUUUUUUGAGAGGAAGAGAGAGAAAAAGACAGAGAGAUAGAUAAAAAGAAAAAAAGAAAUCGAAGAAAGAUAACGUGUUAAUCAAAAGAAAGCGCGAUGGACAUAAUUUACAAAUUUAUCGAGAACGAUUACGAAAAUACAUAUUGAUUCACUUGUGUCAAUGAGUACAAUCGAAAGAAGACACAUCAAGAAUGAUGAUCAGCUGAGGAAAAAGUAAUGUUUUUUCUGAAUUGACGUCAUCAGAGUUUGUCUGAAUGAUAGGUUUUACGAAAAUCGCAUUAAUGACUUCGUAGCAUGAACUUUGAUAUUUAUAAGGACAAAAUGUUUCGAAAAUAAGCGAUUAAUAAUGAUCGAAGUUAGGAGUAAAAAUCUAUAAUUUUUUUUAAGUUUUAUUUAGUUAUAGAUCUAAAGGAUCCCUUAGAAAAAUAUCAUUUAGAUGAGUUUUAUAUCACAAAGUUGAAAUAUAAUUUUUAUAAGUUAUAUACAUACGUACAUGUAUAUUCGAAGUUUCAGGUAAAAGUUCAUAAAAUUGCAUAAAAUUGUAUAACAUUAUCCCCCUUUAUUGAAGUUCGGUUAUAGUUCAAUUGCAAAUGUAGUUUCAGACAGACAGAGGGAGAAAGAGAGAGAGAGAGAGAAAGAGAGAGAUGAAUAAGAAGAGAAACAUUCCACUGACUUUGAAAAGCAUUUAGUAACACAUCGAAAAAAAGAACAGAAUUUUCUAUUUGCGCUCUAAUUGCUUCGUAACGACCGUGAAUUCAGAGUCAUUCGAGAGUUUCUGCUAACGAUAACGAUAACGUUUAAAUGUGAUGCCACUCGAAAAGAGUCUCGAAUCAAAUUUAAAUUUAUAGGUAUUGAUGAAUCUCUGCAUGGAAAUUAUGCUUGAAUAUCAAUGAUAUAAAUGAUAUUGGAAAACUUUUUCUAAGAUUUUUUUUUUUUUUUUUUUUUUUUUUUUUUUUUUUUUUUAAUGACUAUUUUCACAUUGGAUUCUUGUAUUUUCGUUUGAAAGUUUCGAAAAAGUUGAAGCCAAGUGAUAACUCAUAAUAUAAAUAAAGAAGUAAUUUUUUUCGCUCAUGGUGUAAGGAAAAAAAACAGAGAAAUAAAAAGAGAAAGGAAAAAGUAAAGACAAAAAGAAAAGAAAAUAAAAUAAAAAGGAAAUAAAUGUUAAUUUUUUUAUGCAAAAAGUUACUUCACGUUCAAUUCCAUUGUUUAUAGUGAUAAUAUUCCAUUACUAAUCAUGACACCUUUAUCAUCUUAUCUUUCUCUUGAAAUAUUUUUCCUUACUUUGCCAUCAUAUGUACUCACUAAUAAUAUAAUUCUAUAUUAACUGAAUUUUGAUUAUCUAAUG